GAUGAACGCUGGCGGCGUGCCUAAUACAUGCAAGUCGAGCGAACAGACGCGGAGCUUGCUCCUCUGACGUUAGCGGCGGGCGGGUGAGUAACACGUGGAUAACCUCCCUAUAAGACUGGGAUAACUUCGGGACACCGGAGCUAAUACCGGAUAACAUGCUGAACCGCAUGGGUCAACAGUGAAAGACGGUCUUGCUGUCACUUCUAGAUGCAUCCGGGCCGCAUUAGCUAGUUGGUACGGUAACGGCUUACCAAGGCAACGAGGCGUAGCCGACCGGUGAGGGUGAUCGGCGGCCUGGGAAGGGAGCCAGCGACCAGACGCCUGCGGUAGGGCCCAGUCGGGAACGGGACGCAGUGGGGGAAAGCCUGACGGAGCAAGGGCGAGUGAGUGACGACGGUCUUGCGAUCGGAAAACUCUGUUAUGAGUGAAGAACAACUGUGGAAGGAAAUAUGGCGGUAGUGACGGUAACGGAUCAGAAAGCAACGGCUAACUACGUG
rnacentral:rRNA from 1 species